GACGAACGCUGGCGGCGUGCUUAACACAUGCAAGUCGAACGGAAAGGCCUGCUUUCCCUUGUGGAUUGCGGGUACUCGAGUGGCGAACGGGUGCGUAACACGUGAGUGAUCUGCCCCCAACUUGGGUAUAAGCCUGGGAAACUGGGUCUAAUUCCCGAUAGGACUGCAGGGUGGUGCCUGUGGUGGCAAACGUUUUUCUAGUGGUUGGGGAUGAGCUGGCGGCCUAUCAGCUUGUUGGUGGGGUAAUGGCCUACCAAGGCGGCGACGGGUAGCCGGACUGAGAGGGUGGACGGCCACAUUGAGACUGGGAUACGGCCCAGACGCCUACGGGAGGCAGCAGUGGGGAAGAUUGGACAAUGGGCGGAAGCCUGAUGCAGCGAGGCCGCGUGGGGGAUGUCGGCCUUCGGGUUGUAAGCUCCUUGCGACCGCGAGGAAGCCACCUGGUUGGAAGGGUGGUGACGGUAGUGGUAGAAGAAGCACCGGCUAACUACGUG
rnacentral:rRNA from 1 species